AGCGAACGCUGGCGGCAGGCCUAACACAUGCAAGUCGAGCGGCCGUAGCAAUACGGCAGCGGCAGACGGGAGAGUAACACGUGGGAACGCGCCCUUCGGUUCGGGAUAACUCAGGGAAACUUGGGCUAAUACCGGAUACGCCCUUACGGGGAAAGAUUUAUUGCCGAAGGAACGGCCCGCGUCCGAUUAGCUAGUUGGUGAGGUAACGGCUCACCAAGGCGACGAUCGGUAGCUGGUCUGAGAGGAUGACCAGCCUCACUGGGACUGGGACACGGCCCAGACUCCUACGGGAGGCAGCAGUGGGGAAUAUUGGACAAUGAGCGCAAGCCUGAUCCAGCCAUGCCGCGUGGGUGAUGAAGGCCUUAGGGUUGUAAAGCCCUUUCGGCGGGGAAGAUAAUGACGGUACCCGCAGAAGAAGCCCCGGCUAACUUCGUGCCAGCCGCCGCGUAAAAC
rnacentral:rRNA from 1 species